UCUUGCAUGGAUUGUUGUAACGCAACGUCAGACAAAUGACCACAGGACGACUGCAAAAUUUUUCAUAAUUAAAAAUCAAAGCUUUAAUUGAGUACAAAGAAAUCGCCAAAGCAAGCAGGCAACAUUAAGUCAACAAUGUAAAAAAUGAGAAAUUCAUUUAUCAAAUACGCUGCCAGACAGUCUGUCUUAAAUCAUUUGGGACUGAGACCCGUCAUUUCAACAAGCUGUUCCUUCAUCAUGGCGUCGGGUCGAGGGUUAGCAGCGUAACACGU